UGACCGCUGGCGGCGUGCCUAAUACAUGCACGUCGAGCGAACAGACGAGGAGCUUGCUCCUCUGACGUUAGCGGCGGACGGGUGAGUAACACGUGGAUAACCUACCUAUAAGACUGGGAUAACUUCGGGAAACCGGAGCUAAUACCGGAUAAUAUAUUGAACCGCAUGGUUCAAUAGUGAAAGACGGUUUUGCUGUCACUUAUAGAUGGAUCCGCGCCGCAUUAGCUAGUUGGUAAGGUAACGGCUUACCAAGGCAACGAUGCGUAGCCGACCUGAGAGGGUGAUCGGCCACACUGGAACUGAGACACGGUCCAGACUCCUACGGGAGGCAGCAGUAGGGAAUCUUCCGCAAUGGGCGAAAGCCUGACGGAGCAACGCCGCGUGAGUGAUGAAGGUCUUCGGAUCGUAAAACUCUGUUAUUAGGGAAGAACAAAUGUGUAAGUAACUAUGCACGUCUUGACGGUACCUAAUCAGAAAGCCACGGCUAACUACGUGC
rnacentral:rRNA from 1 species